UACGAAGGGGGCUAGCGUUGCUCGGAAUCACUGGGCGUAAAGGGCGCGUAGGCGGCCAUUCAAGUCGGGGGUGAAAGCCUGUGGCUCAACCACAGAAUUGCCUUCGAUACUGUUUGGCUUGAGUUUGGUAGAGGUUGGUGGAACUGCGAGUGUAGAGGUGAAAUUCGUAGAUAUUCGCAAGAACACCAGUGGCGAAGGCGGCCAACUGGACCAAUACUGACGCUGAGGCG
rnacentral:rRNA from 1 species